GGGCAAUUCAAAAUCUUGUUUGUCAUCACAAAGCUUGUUAAGACAGAAUUUUCAUGCAAAUGACAUACGCUGCAGUUAAUUUACAGAGACAAUGGACAGGAUACAGUAUCAGGACUGAGAUCCUGCGCUACCUGAAGAAGGUGUUUUAUGUUGAUAUCAGGGUAGUGCUGCAAAAGCCUCAAGUUGGCUACAAAAUCCCCGCUUAAUAGCCUGCUUUUCACACAUAACAACAUUGCACAACAGAUCCGCAAAAGCAUAUCCUGAACACCAGAAGGAUUACUCAGAAGCAAAUCCCAAAUUCUUAAAAUGGACUGGAAUUUGAAUUCUUGAGUAAGCAACAAUGUGAUCCACCUGAAUGCAUAGAAUUGUGGCUUAACCUUGGUUGUAGACUCAAGAUGCCACCACAAUUCCUCAUCGUUUGCUUUCAGUAAGUCCAUCAAUCGGGAAAGUGUGGAUAGGAUACCAACUGGACUGUUAUCCAACUGUUGACAAAAGUGAUCCACCGAGUCACUCAGUAGUCUAACAAAACAAGAAAAACUAUCUGCUUCUGCAUUUGCAGC
rnacentral:misc_RNA from 1 species